GAUGAACGCUGGCGGCGUGCCUAAUACAUGCAAGUCGAACGAAAAGACGAGGAGCUUGCUCCGCGGACGUGAGCGGCGGGCGGGUGAGUAACACGUGGAUAACCUACCUGUAAGACUGGGAUAACUUCGGGAAACGGGAGCUAAUACCGUAUAAUAUAUUGCACCGCGGGGUUCAUUAGAAAAAGUCGGUUUUGCGGGCACUUAUAGAUGCAUCCGGGCCGCAUUAGAUAGUUGGUAAGGUAACGGGUUACCAAGGCAACGAUGCGUGGCCGAAGUGAGGGGGUGAUCGGCGACCUUGGAACGUGGACACGGACCAUAGUACUAAGGUACGCAGCAGUAUGGUAUGUGACGCAAUGGGCGAGAGUAUUGCGGAGUGACGCGAAGUGAGUGAUGAAGGUGUUGGGUGCGUAAAACCCGGUUACGAGGGAAGAACAACUUUCGAAUUAAAUAUGGACGGCUUGACGGUACUGAAUAAAAAAGCACCGGCUAACUACGUG
rnacentral:rRNA from 1 species